rnacentral:rRNA from 1 species
GCAGUCGAACGCGAACGUUUCCUUCGGGGAACUAGUAGAGUGGCGCACGGGUGAGUAACGCGUAAGUAAUCUACCCUCGCAUUCGGGAUAACCCACCGAAAGGUGUGCUAAUACCGGAUACGUCUCAUUUAAUAUCUUUUGAUGAGAGAAAGGUGGCCUCUUGAAUCAAAGCUACUGUGCGGGGAGGAGCUUGCGUACCAUUAGCUAGUUGGUAGGGUAACGGCCUACCAAGGCGAUGAUGGUUAGCGGGUCUGAGAGGAUGAUCCGCCACACUGGAACUGGAACACGGACCAGACUCCUACGGGAGGCAGCAGUGAGGAAUAUUGCGCAAUGGGGGCAACCCUGACGCAGCGACGCCGCGUGGAUGAUGAAGGCCUUCGGGUUGUAAAAUCCUGUCAGAUGGGAAGAAGUGUGUAUCACCCAAUACGUGAUACAUUUGACGGUACCAUCAAAGGAAGCACCGGCUAACUCCGUGCCAGCAGCCGCGGUAAUACGGAGGGUGCAAGCGUUGUUCGGAAUUACUGGGCGUAAAGCGCGCGUAGGCGGCUAGAUAAGUCAGAUGUGAAAGCCCGCGGCUCAACCGUGGAAGAGCAUUUGAAACUGUCUAGCUUGAGUACUGGAGGGGGUAGUGGAAUUCCCGGUGUAGAGGUGAAAUUCGUAGAUAUCGGGAGGAAUACCGGUGGCGAAGGCGACUACCUGGCCAGAUACUGACGCUGAGGUGCGAAAGCGUGGGGGAGCAAACAGG